rnacentral:rRNA from 1 species
UACGAAGGGGGCUAGCGUUGCUCGGAAUCACUGGGCGUAAAGCGCACGUAGGCGGCUUUCUAAGUCAGGGGUGAAAUCCUGGAGCUCAACUCCAGAACUGCCUUUGAUACUGGAGAGCUUGAGUCCGGGAGAGAUGAGUGGAACUCCGAGUGUAGAGGUGAAAUUCGUAGAUAUUCGGAAGAACACCAGUGGCGAAGGCGGCUCACUGGCCCGGUACUGACGCUGAGGUGCGAAAGCGUGGGGAGCAAACAGG